UUUGAAAUGGAAAGGAACUAGCAUCAGUUGAGCGUUUAAAGUGAGCCAGACAUUUUACAUAUGUUGUUGUUCAGCCACUGAGUCGUGUCUGACUCUUUGUAACUCCAUGGGCUGCAGCACACCAGGCUUCUCUGUCCUUCACGUAUGGUACCCCCAUUAAAUCCUCACACCUCAAAGUACAGAUUUAUACCUGUUUUACAGGUAAAGAGACUUAAGAGUCAGGGAUUAUGAAAGUAAAGUCACAGUGAAAGUAAAUGGCAGAGAUGGAAGUCCAACUCCAAAGCCUACUUUCCUUCUACCAUAAUUUGCUGUCUUAAAGAAGGGCUGGAUGUGAAAACGCCAUUUCAGAAGUUGUAGCAAUUUCAGCAACAGGUCUGGUGGGAUGAUGACCAGAACUCAGACAGUAGCUUUGGAAAUGGAAAGAAGGACACAAAUGGAAGAAGCAUCAAUGGGCAGUCAAUGGAAUGUGGCAAAGAAAAUAUCUGCCUAGGAAGAGUCUGAAAAACACCUAACCUUUAAGCCUUAGGAAAUUAUGGUGCUGUUAACAGAGCCUGGAGAAGGAUCCGAUUGUGUUGGGAAGAUUAAAUUCAGUUUUGAUAGGGUUGGUUUUGAUAUAAUCUAUAGGCAAACAGUCUCAGCUGAAAAUGUAGUAGAUAUUUGCUCAGAAAUGCAAAUUGAAGAGAUCAGAUAAAUGGUUAAAGCAAGUAUGAAACAGAUAGGACUUUAAAAGUGCCUAAAUUUAGGAGGUGAGACAACAGAAGAGACAGACUACAAAAAGAAGAUUCUGAAUCAUGCAGCAACCAGAAUCAAAGGCAGGAGAAAUUUUCAAGGGAAUGGCCCUUGGGAUUAGGAGUGGUGCAGUAGGAAUGCUUAUUGCCUGGGUGUGCAGCAGGCAGAGAACACUGGGCAUCCCGGAUGGUGGUGGCAGGGAGCUCCAGACACGCACCGGACUGAGAGGCCAAAGGAAGCCCUGGGCAGUGUGGAUGAAGAGGAGAAUGGGCAAGUACCAUGGCCAAGGCAAUUUUGUCUGUUGGUGAUCAGAAGGAACAAAGCCAAGUGAGAGAAGGCAGAUGCUGGAGAGAAGGCAGAUAAUUAAUGGAAUCCAAGCCCAGUGCUUGGGAUCCUGGGGGUGGAGGAAAGAAAGAGUGGUUUUGAUUUUCUUCCUUUCACACCUACAGAAAACCUGUUUUCAUACAGAUUUGGCUCUUCUUAAAAAUCAGCGUUUAGAGUACCAUGUACCCCCAACUUGGAACGGAACUGGCAAGCCACAAUAAGUAACAAUGAGCCCUUUUCCAGAGUCUGUUUCAACGACAAAUGCUGCUGCUUGGCACUGAGGUCUGCUUGUGUUUUAAGCUGAAAGUGGGGACAGCCCAGAACCCCUCUGUUUGUAACCUGGCUGGAUAGUUCUAUUAUUAUUUAAAGCGUCCCUUUCAGCAAUUUAGGAAACCGAAAUACAUGCUGGCUCAUGCUGUCUGGAAACUGAAAGUCUGUUGAGCAGCUCUCAUGAGCCAAUCCUGAGACUUGGUAAGGAUUUUUAUUUUGGUCGUCCUGCGCGCCUACUGUAACUGGGGCGGCUGAGUUGCUAUGGUGAUUUGUUCUCCAAACAGAGCGCUUUGCCUCAGUACCUUGAAGCAGCAGAUCAAUCUAUUUUACGUUGGCUUGAUCAUGACAUCAAUUCUAGUCGAAACCUCUCCCCUGCUCCCCUCAGAUUCGUAGCAGGAAUUUUAAAUCGGGGCCAAGAGGGCACUAGCUAAAAGAAUCACAACUCCCGCUUUGUAAACCUCGGCCUUCAGUAUUCCUGCCACUGAGACUGUUGGCAGAGUUCUCGGCGGGGGAGGCGGGUUGCAGCUGGGGGAAGGUUCAUCACUGAAGCAAUUAUGUGGCUAAUCGCUCCGGUGUAUACACCGGCUGCAAGUUGUGACUCAGGCUCCACUCUGCCUCUAAUAGUCGGGGGUAGUGGGCAGGAUGCACAGAAAACUCGGUUGCGUUUUCCCACUUCUCUUAUCAACCUGCAAGUCGGUAAGAUCUGGCCUUCAAGUGUGAGAAAGGCAGACCUUCGCUCCUCGACGUGGCCCUCCCUGUCUCCACCAGUAGGGGGCCCCAUUGAGUCACCGGACACUUUAAGGAUGACUGCACUUGAAUGAUAACACACCCGUGGUGAACAGGAAAAGUGACUUUUCCAUUCUCCUCCUAGAGAGAUUCUCUCGAUAAUUCCUGCUUCUGGCUGAUAACCUUUCGGACACAAAGAGACCCAUUUGGACUCAGAUCCCUCAGUAAGGAAGAUGUGGCUGUGGAGAAAGAGGACCCCUUUCCAUACCCUCCCGACCUGGUAGCAGGGCCUGGGGCCAGACUGUCUCACAAGGAGCACCAGUCUAUGGAUAUGAGGUCUAGAACCGCUGCAACCAUUUGUGACCAUGCAGGAAGAUUCUGGAACUGCUAAAGGUUGUGGGGAAGCCCAGCAGGGUGCCUGAAGAGGAAGCCAACACCACAGAAGGCAGAACCAAGAGGAGAGAGAGAAGUCCUUGUGAUGGCAUCAAGUCCCUGGAUCAAGCCUCACCUGAAGCCUGACCUAAUGCUGGUCUUUUUAGUGGCCUCAGCCAAUUAAAUGUUCUUUAUUAUAUAACCCAAUUUAAAUAAGGAUUUCUAUGUCUUACAACAUAAAGGGCCCAUCUAUAAGGAAACCCUAGAAUAGGUACCCAACAGUGCCAAGGGCCUCCUCUGCACCCCAAGCCUCUAGGAGGAAGUGAGCCUGUUCCAG